rnacentral:rRNA from 1 species
UACGUAGGGACCAAGCGUUGUUCGGAUUUACUGGGCGUAAAGGGCGCGUAGGCGGCAAUUCAAGUCAGCUGUGAAAUCUCCGGGCUUAACUCGGAACGGUCAGCUGAUACUGCUUUGCUAGAGUGCAGAAGGGGCAAUCGGAAUUCUUGGUGUAGCGGUGAAAUGCGUAGAUAUCAAGAGGAACACCGGUGGCGAAGGCGGGUCUCUGGGCCGAUACUGACGCUGAGGAGCGAAAGCGUGGGGAGCGAACAGG